rnacentral:ncRNA from 1 species
CCCCGGAGAAGGAGCCUGAGAAACGGCUACUACAUCCAAGGAAGGCAGCAGGCGCGCAAAUUACCCAAUCCCGACUCGGGGAGGUAGUGACGAUAAAUACCGAUACAGGGCUCUUUUGGGUCCUGUAAUUGGAAUGAGUACAAUUCAAAUCCCUUAACGAGGAACAAUUGGAGGGCAAGUCUGGUGCCAGCAGCCGCGGUAAUUCCAGCUCCAAUAGCGUAUAUUAAAGUUGUUGUGGUUAAAAAGCUCGUAGUAGAAGCUCGGGCUCCGGCCGACCGGUCCGCCUCACCGCGUGCACUGGUUCGGCCGGGCCUUCACCUUCUGCGGAACCGCAUCUCCUUCACUGGGGGUGUCGGGGAAACAGGACGUUUACUGUGAAAAAAUUAGAGUGCUCCAGGCAGGCCUAUGCUCGAAUAGAUUAGCAUGGAAUAAUGGAAUAGGACGUGUGGUCUUAUUUCGUUGGUUUCUAGGACCGCCGUAAUGAUUAAUAGGGACAGUCGGGGGCAUCAGUAUUCAAUCGUCAGAGGUGAAAUUCUUGGAUCGAUUGAAGACGAACAACUGCGAAAGCAUUUGCCAAGGAUGUUUUCAUUAAUCAAGAACG